AGUGAACGCUGGCGAUAGGCCUAACACAUGCAAGUCGAACGGCAGCACAGUAAGAGCUUGCUCUUACGGGUGGCGAGUGGCGGACGGGUGGGGAAUACAUCGGAAUCUACUUUUUCGUGGGGGAUAACGUAGGGAAACUUACGCUAAUACCGCAUACGACCUACGGGUGAAAGCAGGGGAUCUUCGGACCUUGCGCGAUUGAAUGAGCCGAUGUCGGAUUAGCUAGUUGGCGGGGUAAAGGCCCACCAAGGCGACGAUCCGUAGCUGGUCUGAGAGGAUGAUCAGCCACACUGGAACUGAGACACGGUCCAGACUCCUACGGGAGGCAGCAGUGGGGAAUAUUGGACAAAGGGCGCAAGCCUGAUCCAGCCAUACCGCGUGGGUGAAGAAGGCCUUCGGGUUGUAAAGCCCUUUUGUUGGGAAAGAAAAGCAGCAGGUUAAUACCCCGCUGUUCUGACGGUACCCAAAGAAUAAGCACCGGCUAACUUCGUG
rnacentral:rRNA from 1 species